UGCCAUCCGCCGCGGUAAUACGGAGGGAGCGAACGUUGUUCGGAUUUACUGGGCGUAAAGGGCGUGUAGGCGGCUCCGCAAGUCAGAGGUGAAAUUUCUCGGCUCAACCGGGAACCUGCCUUUGAAACUGCAGGGCUUGAGGUCGUGAGAGGAGACUGGAAUUCCUAGUGUAGCGGUGAAAUGCAUAGAUAUUAGGAAGAACACCAGUGGCGAAGGCGGCUAACUGGCUCGGUACUGACGCUGAGAUGCGAAAGCGUGGGGAGCAAAAAGGAUUAGAUA
rnacentral:rRNA from 1 species